UACGUAUGGAGCAAGCGUUAUCCGGAUUUACUGGGUGUAAAGGGAGCGCAGGCGGCUUUGCAAGUCUGAUGUGAAAGGCCGGGGCUCAACCCCGGGACUGCAUUGGAAACUGUAAAGCUAGAGUGCCGGAGAGGUAUGCGGAAUUCCUAGUGUAGCGGUGAAAUGCGUAGAUAUUAGGAGGAACACCAGUGGCGAAGGCGGCUUACUGGACGGCAACUGACGCUGAGGCUCGAAAGCGUGGGGAGCAAACAGG
rnacentral:rRNA from 1 species